CAGCUCUCAUUAGUUGCAAGAGAGAUCUGAGCGAGACCUCUCCGGCUGCACUGAGAAUCGCUCGAAAUAAAAGUCCGACAGACUCCUGGGAGGCACGCCAAUGACUAAAAGUGACAUCAGCACAAAGUCUCCAUAUUCUAAGAAGGCGAGGGGUCAAUGCACAAAAAAUUACCUGGAUGAUACCAGAACAGAGUGCAACAUUUGUACCAAACUCUUCGAUGUUGUCGUGAACCGAGAGAGUCUUUCAAAACACAGUCCGCAUUCACACGCUUGAAUUCAAGUCAAUCUCAUUGACUGCAAUAGAAAACCAUCAUUACAGUACAACACAAA